AUGAUCUCUCUCUCCCUCUCUCUCUUCCUCCCUCCCUUUAUAAGGAAUGCUAUAAGGAACACCCCAUCCUACAUCACAGUAGAGUUGGUAAAGCAUUCCCGUGAUGAUCAAGCUAUCCAGUUUCUACUUGUGGCUCUGCAUCCCAGCCCACUGUAUGAUUCUGGCUUCAUCUAUGAGAGUUCAGCUGCUGCGGACGCACCAGGUACUGGAGCUGGGCCGAGACCCACAAGCAAGGACACAUCCGGCGGGAGGACAACGUCGUCGUGGCAGCAGGGCAUGCACUUGGUGUUUACGGAGAAGAGGCCACUGAGCGCCACAGACGUGGGUUGCACCACAAGAAGCUGCACAGAGCCUGGCUGCUGUUUGCCUCCUGGUCCCCCAGCCCCCUGGUGAGGCUUCUGCAAGAGCCUUCCACCACUCCAGUGCAUGCUUGUGGCAUGAUAGAAUUUUAGAUACGGAUGCACCCAGGGAAUCUUCUGUUCUCCUCCAGUUUCCAAGAGGGAAUUCUGAGGCAUCAAGAAGGAGGUAGGUCAGAGUGAUAGUGAUGGUUCUUAGUGGAGAAUGGACUCACUUUAAAGU
rnacentral:lncRNA from 1 species